rnacentral:rRNA from 1 species
GGGUUGUGAGGUUAAGCGACUAAGCGUACACGGUGGAUGCCCUGGCAGUCAGAGGCGAUGAAGGACGUGCUAAUCUGCGAUAAGCGUCGGUAAGGUGAUAUGAACCGUUAUAACCGGCGAUUUCCGAAUGGGGAAACCCAGUGUGAUUCGUCACACUAUCAUUAACUGAAUCCAUAGGUUAAUGAGGCGAACCGGGGGAACUGAAACAUCUAAGUACCCCGAGGAAAAGAAAUCAACCGAGAUUCCCCCAGUAGCGGCGAGCGAACGGGGAGCAGCCCAGAGCCUGAAUCAGUGUGUGUGUUAGUGGAAGCGUCUGGAAAGGCGCGCGAUACAGGGUGACAGCCCCGUACACAAAAAUGCACAUGCUGUGAGCUCGAUGAGUAGGGCGGGACACGUGGUAUCCUGUCUGAAUAUGGGGGGACCAUCCUCCAAGGCUAAAUACUCCUGACUGACCGAUAGUGAACCAGUACCGUGAGGGAAAGGCGAAAAGAACCCCGGCGAGGGGAGUGAAAAAGAACCUGAAACCGUGUACGUACAAGCAGUGGGAGCCUCUUUAUGGGGUGACUGCGUACCUUUUGUAUAAUGGGUCAGCGACUUAUAUUCUGUAGCAAGGUUAACCGAAUAGGGGAGCCGAAGGGAAACCGAGUCUUAACUGGGCGUUAAGUUGCAGGGUAUAGACCCGAAACCCGGUGAUCUAGCCAUGGGCAGGUUGAAGGUUGGGUAACACUAACUGGAGGACCGAACCGACUAAUGUUGAAAAAUUAGCGGAUGACUUGUGGCUGGGGGUGAAAGGCCAAUCAAACCGGGAGAUAGCUGGUUCUCCCCGAAAGCUAUUUAGGUAGCGCCUCGUGAAUUCAUCUCCGGGGGUAGAGCACUGUUUCGGCAAGGGGGUCAUCCCGACUUACCAACCCGAUGCAAACUGCGAAUACCGGAGAAUGUUAUCACGGGAGACACACGGCGGGUGCUAACGUCCGUCGUGAAGAGGGAAACAACCCAGACCGCCAGCUAAGGUCCCAAAGUCAUGGUUAAGUGGGAAACGAUGUGGGAAGGCCCAGACAGCCAGGAUGUUGGCUUAGAAGCAGCCAUCAUUUAAAGAAAGCGUAAUAGCUCACUGGUCGAGUCGGCCUGCGCGGAAGAUGUAACGGGGCUAAACCAUGCACCGAAGCUGCGGCAGCGACACUAUGUGUUGUUGGGUAGGGGAGCGUUCUGUAAGCCUGCGAAGGUGUACUGUGAGGUAUGCUGGAGGUAUCAGAAGUGCGAAUGCUGACAUAAGUAACGAUAAAGCGGGUGAAAAGCCCGCUCGCCGGAAGACCAAGGGUUCCUGUCCAACGUUAAUCGGGGCAGGGUGAGUCGACCCCUAAGGCGAGGCCGAAAGGCGUAGUCGAUGGGAAACAGGUUAAUAUUCCUGUACUUGGUGUUACUGCGAAGGGGGGACGGAGAAGGCUAUGUUGGCCGGGCGACGGUUGUCCCGGUUUAAGCGUGUAGGCUGGUUUUCCAGGCAAAUCCGGAAAAUCAAGGCUGAGGCGUGAUGACGAGGCACUACGGUGCUGAAGCAACAAAUGCCCUGCUUCCAGGAAAAGCCUCUAAGCAUCAGGUAACAUCAAAUCGUACCCCAAACCGACACAGGUGGUCAGGUAGAGAAUACCAAGGCGCUUGAGAGAACUCGGGUGAAGGAACUAGGCAAAAUGGUGCCGUAACUUCGGGAGAAGGCACGCUGAUAUGUAGGUGAAGCGACUUGCUCGUGGAGCUGAAAUCAGUCGAAGAUACCAGCUGGCUGCAACUGUUUAUUAAAAACACAGCACUGUGCAAACACGAAAGUGGACGUAUACGGUGUGACGCCUGCCCGGUGCCGGAAGGUUAAUUGAUGGGGUUAGCGGUAACGCGAAGCUCUUGAUCGAAGCCCCGGUAAACGGCGGCCGUAACUAUAACGGUCCUAAGGUAGCGAAAUUCCUUGUCGGGUAAGUUCCGACCUGCACGAAUGGCGUAAUGAUGGCCAGGCUGUCUCCACCCGAGACUCAGUGAAAUUGAACUCGCUGUGAAGAUGCAGUGUACCCGCGGCAAGACGGAAAGACCCCGUGAACCUUUACUAUAGCUUGACACUGAACAUUGAGCCUUGAUGUGUAGGAUAGGUGGGAGGCUUUGAAGUGUGGACGCCAGUCUGCAUGGAGCCGACCUUGAAAUACCACCCUUUAAUGUUUGAUGUUCUAACGUUGGCCCCUGAUCGGGGUUGCGGACAGUGUCUGGUGGGUAGUUUGACUGGGGCGGUCUCCUCCUAAAGAGUAACGGAGGAGCACGAAGGUUGGCUAAUCCUGGUCGGACAUCAGGAGGUUAGUGCAAUGGCAUAAGCCAGCUUGACUGCGAGCGUGACGGCGCGAGCAGGUGCGAAAGCAGGUCAUAGUGAUCCGGUGGUUCUGAAUGGAAGGGCCAUCGCUCAACGGAUAAAAGGUACUCCGGGGAUAACAGGCUGAUACCGCCCAAGAGUUCAUAUCGACGGCGGUGUUUGGCACCUCGAUGUCGGCUCAUCACAUCCUGGGGCUGAAGUAGGUCCCAAGGGUAUGGCUGUUCGCCAUUUAAAGUGGUACGCGAGCUGGGUUUAGAACGUCGUGAGACAGUUCGGUCCCUAUCUGCCGUGGGCGCUGGAGAACUGAGGGGGGCUGCUCCUAGUACGAGAGGACCGGAGUGGACGCAUCACUGGUGUUCGGGUUGUCAUGCCAAUGGCACUGCCCGGUAGCUAAAUGCGGAAGAGAUAAGUGCUGAAAGCAUCUAAGCACGAAACUUGCCCCGAGAUGAGUUCUCCCUGACUCCUUGAGAGUCCUGAAGGAACGUUGAAGACGACGACGUUGAUAGGCCGGGUGUGUAAGCGCAGCGAUGCGUUGAGCUAACCGGUACUAAUGAACCGUGAGGCUUAACCUUACAACGCCGAAG